ACCUAAUUUCCCUCUCCUUCAUCGCGUCUGCCCCCCUAAAAAACUUCCCUUCCCACCGCCAUCACCCAUCGCCAGCCGCUCGUCCAGACCAUCGCCAUCCAGCUGAUUGCUCACUUGCCCUCGCGUCGGUCGUCUCUCCCAGCCGCACCAUAUGUCCACUACCGUUGACCAAAGCCACCAACCGCCCCUUUCCAGUCUCGAGCGUCUGCCGUCCCUCGCACCCCCUCACCUGCACGCCGCCGUUCUUCGCAUCGAGCACGGAUUCGAAGGCCAGCAGCUUCCAUUCGACGAGCCGCUGCCGCAGGUCCCAGAUCGGCCGUAUCCGCUCGGCUGGAGUUGCAGUGCAUCACCGGUUCUGUGCAAGCCCAGUCCGUUUUCAUAGCCACUGUUGUCUUGGUUGUCGGAUUUGGAUAGAUUGAUUGGUUGAGGUAAGAGUAGGGACGCUCUGGUGAAUGACAAGUGGAAUCCAUGAUCGAGCCACUAGGACCAGUUUUAUGCUUCUGCUCAUGAUGUUUAGAUUCCUUUCAUGUUUUUCCACUUUCAGUCUUCAUGUUUGAAACUUACUGAUUAGUAUUCGUUUCCAAACUUUUACAGUUUUCUACACUCAUUAAAUUUCUAAUUAUGAUUUAUGGGUACCCUGUUAUUUGACUUUUAUUUAGUUUUAAUGAAAGUAUUUUAUUUGACU